UUAAGGAGAAAAUCUCUGCUUUUAAGAAAGCACCAAAUGUGUUAGGUACAAAAACUGGGGAAACCAGUGUCUCAAGCAACCGAAAAUAGGCUAAACCUAUUACACAGAUAGGCAAAGAAAAGCUCAGAAGGCUCUCAGAUCUCCACAAUGUCAGAAGCCAUCACCAAGCUUGGCUUAAAAUUUCUCAACCAGCUCAAGAGCAUGACAUUCGCCUGAUCCACUUUUUCCUUGUCGACCGCCUUCAGUAGCAAAGACCACCUCUGCAACAAUGACAAGGCAUCAUAAAGGACAUUAGCAGGAGCUUUAGGAUAGUUCUUCUCAAUUGCCAUCUUAUUUCUUGUUACCCAUAACGUCCAAGCAAAACCUGCGAAAAAGAACAUAAUAUUUUGUUUUGGCAAGGGCCCCUUACCCCACAACCAACCCUCAGACAACUCCUGUAAAGAUUUAGGAAUAUCUCUCUCAUAAAACACUUCCUGAAUAACAACCCAAAACCAUUUAGCAAAGACACAUUCAAAAAGAAGAUGGUUUAUCGUCUCCAACACCCCACAUAGACAACAUUUGCCGUCUCCUUUCCAACCUCUUACUAUUUCCAUCUUCCAGAAUAGCGUAUAUAUAACUAUAUACAAAUAUACUACUUGUCCUAGUACAAGCCUGCAAGGCAGAAGGUACACCCUCGGCUGUCCCAUAUUUAUUUCAAAAUUGCAGUUUUAUAAUGCUUCAGGUUUUCAUGUGCUUCACAUACAGAUUCAGAAGCAAAGUCAUUAGAAGAAAAACACAAAUGGAAACCCUGUGGUGACUUGGCUUCUAUAUUACACUAUCAGUGUUUAUCAUCCUUCAAACAACUCUUCCAACAUCUCUAUCAGCUCCGGAGGACUGAAUUUUGGGGUGGUAAUUCUGUUGUCCUCUAUGUAAUUUGCAUAGCCUGGAACGAUUUUCUCGAUGAUAGCUUUGCGCAGUGUUCUCCUGAGCGCAGGAUCUGGGACCUUCCACAACUUUUGAGUGGUGUACGUCUUCUGAAACUCAGACUCAAACUUAGGCAGCAGGGAGUAUUUUCUCCCGAAGCAAAGAGGUGUAGCAUUCAACAAGCAUGACAACACCGGUGCCCAAGAUACUUGUAGAUAGAUCUCCAUAUAGCCCUCAACCUCAACUUUGCCAAAUAAGGCUGCCAAGUUUUGUUGGGGAGAAAAGAAUAUGCCGUAGAUGAGCUUCUGCCUUAUGAAGUAUGAGUUGUUGAGCAAAAAUAAGAACCUGAGGCCAUUGUUUGGAAAGGAUUCUGAUAUGUUGACAAGCAUUUUGUGUAGACUAGACGCAAUCUCCCUGAUCAUAUCGCCAAGGCUAGCUCCCUUUUUAGACACUAUUGCAGCCACUGACUCGUAAUGAGAGCACAACAACCUGAUGUAAUCGACUACAAACUGAGUGGCCUUGUGGACGUCUGAUGAUCCUUGUGUAUCUAGAGAGCACGAUGAGUCAUCACCAUCAUCUAUGGACUCCAUCCUAAUUUGUUCCAUUGUGCUCCAUAUGCCCUCAGCUACCUUAGCCACCUUUCCUGACAAAAUGCUGACUAUCUUUUCAUGUAUCCUCUCAACUCCUCUAGGGGGCCGUGACCCGAAUAGCCAUUGGAUCGCUGAUAAUGCAUCGUCAGACAGAGCACUGUGCACUCUGAGAAGGGUACGGAGCUUAUGGUAUAGCUGUAGUACCCUUCGGUUCACAAUAGUAUCUUCUUGUUCUUGUAAAACGAUCUUGGAAUUUGGAGCAGCUAUGGCGUCAACAAAAACGAGCAGUUUUAACAUGGUUUCUAGGAUGAAUUGUGCGAACUGGAACAGAUCCGGAAUACUGUCUUUGUUUCCAGUCUCAAUCUCAGGUUGCUGUUCUUCUUCAGCGAAGAUACUAGGCCGGCCCACAGAGUUGCGAUCAGGACAGAGCGAAGGCGCCAUGAAGCGUACGGCCUGGCUGAUCUUAGCGAGAGCCAAGAUCCAGCUCCGUGCAUGAUCGAAAGUAUGCUCGAAGAGUUUCCCUGAAGAUGCAUAAUCGUCAGCGAUGUCAAGGACCCAGCCGACACGCAGAUGUUUCAACCACCAAUCUAGGACACCGGUGUCACCACCUUUGGCUUCGAGGCUGCUGCAAUCAUCCACCGACGGCUUCGGCGCACCGAGGAAGAAUUCCUGGACCAGGAUUCUGAUUUCCUCCAUCUCCUUCUGCGCUAUGUCGACGUCUUGGUGGUGGUACAUCUUCUCCUUGUUUUGUGUUUCUUUGCUUGUCCCUAUUUCUUUGCGAGACUUCUUGGUUGGUCGAGACCUGUCCUCGUCCAACUCCAAGAAGUCCAAGUGUAUGGCCGCCUUCAGGGAGAAAGAUGAUGACAGGCGACGAGAGCUGUUAGAUGUGUAGCCAGUCGAGACGAUGGUACCUGCUGAUGAUGUGUAGCCGCUAGAUGAAGUGAUGGAACGGGAACCACGGUUGGUGUGAUCACGGUAGCGGCUCCUCCAAGGCCCUCGAUCUCCAUUAUUCCUACCCUCCAUGCUCUCGCAGUCGCAGCUCUGCUCGCGUGCGUGACAGGCAAUGAGAAGGGGACUGGGAUCUCCCCGACCUCCCG
rnacentral:lncRNA from 1 species